rnacentral:rRNA from 1 species
UGGGGAAUUUUGGACAAUGGGGGAAACCCUGAUCCAGCCAUCCCGCGUGUGCGAUGAAGGCCUUCGGGUUGUAAAGCACUUUUGGCAGGAAAGAAACGUCGCGGGUUAAUACCCCGCGAAACUGACGGUACCUGCAGAAUAAGCACCGGCUAACUACGUGCCAGCAGCCGCGGUAAUACGUAGGGUGCAAGCGUUAAUCGGAAUUACUGGGCGUAAAGCGUGCGCAGGCGGUUCGGAAAGAAAGAUGUGAAAUCCCAGAGCUUAACUUUGGGAACUGCAUUUUUAACUACCGGGCUAGAGUGUGUCAGAGGGAGGUGGAAUUCCGCGUGUAGCAGUGAAAUGCGUAGAUAUGCGGAGGAACACCGAUGGCGAAGGCAGCCUCCUGGGAUAACACUGACGCUCAUGCACGAAAAGCGUGGGGAGCAAACAGGAUUAGAUACCCCUGGUAGUCCACGCCCUAAACGAUGUCAACUAGCUGUUGGGGGCCUUCGGGCCUUGGUAGCGCAGCUAACGCGUGAAGUUGACCGCCUGGGGGAGU